UGAAGACGACGACGUUGAUAGGCCGGGUGUGUAAGCGCAGCGAUGCGUUGAGCUAACCAGUACUAAUGAACCGUGAGGCUUAACCUUACAACGCCGAAGCUGUU
rnacentral:rRNA from 1 species